GCAGUGUUAGUUCAGUGGUUAUGAUGUUGGACUACUGAUCGGUAAGUCGGGAGUUGAAAUCCCAGUCCCACUGCU